AACGCUAGCUACAGGCUUAACACAUGCAAGUCGAGGGGAAACGACAUCGAAAGCUUGCUUUUGAUGGGCGUCGACCGGCGCACGGGUGAGUAACGCGUAUCCAACCUGCCCAUCACUUGGGGAUAACCUUGCGAAAGUAAGACUAAUACCCAAUGACGUCUCUAGAAGACAUCUGAAAGAGAUUAAAGAUUUAUCGGUGAUGGAUGGGGAUGCGUCUGAUUAGCUUGUUGGCGGGGUAACGGCCCACCAAGGCGACGAUCAGUAGGGGUUCUGAGAGGAAGGUCCCCCACAUUGGAACUGAGACACGGUCCAAACCCCUACGGGAGGCAGCAGUGAGGAAUAUUGGUCAAUGGACGAGAGUCUGAACCAGCCAAGUAGCGUGCAGGAUGACGGCCCUAUGGGUUGUAAACUGCUUUUAUAAGGGAAUAAAGUGAGUCUCGUGAGACUUUUUGCAUGUACCUUAUGAAUAAGGACCGGCUAAUUCCGUGCCAGCAGCCGCGGUAAUACGGAAGGUCCGGGCGUUAUCCGGAUUUAUUGGGUUUAAAGGGAGCGUAGGCUGGAGAUUAAGCGUGUUGUGAAAUGUAGAUGCUCAACAUCUGCACUGCAGCGCGAACUGGUUUCCUUGAGUACGCACAAAGUGGGCGGAAUUCGUGGUGUAGCGGUGAAAUGCUUAGAUAUCACGAAGAACUCCGAUUG
rnacentral:rRNA from 1 species